GGUUGUGGCUCAGUGGUAGAGCACUUGCCUAGCAUGUGUGAGGCCCUGGGUUCAAUUCUCAGCACCA
rnacentral:tRNA from 1 species